GCACUCGUAGCUCAGCUGGAUAGAGUACGCGCUACGACCGAGCGGUCACAGGUUCGAAUCCUGUCGAGUGCACCA
rnacentral:tRNA from 1 species